GAUGAAGAACGCAGCGAAAUGCGAUAAGUAAUGUGAAUUGCAGAAUUCAGUGAAUCAUCGAAUCUUUGAACGCACAUUGCGCCCGCCAGUAUUCUGGCGGGCAUGCCUGUUCGAGCGUCAUUACAACCCUCAGGCCCCCGGGCCUGGCGUUGGGGAUCGGCGGAGCCCCCCGUGGGCACACGCCGUCCCCCAAAUGCAGUGGCGGUCCCGCCGCAGCUUCCAUCGCGUAGUAGCUAACACCUCGCGACUGGAGAGCGGCGCGGCCACGCCGUAAAACACCCAACUUCUGAACGUUGACCUCGAAUCAGGUAGGACUACCCGCUGAACUUAAGCAUAUCAAUAAGCGAGG
rnacentral:misc_RNA from 1 species